rnacentral:rRNA from 19 species
AACGCGUGAGAAUCUGCCUUCAGGUUCGGGACAACCAUUGGAAACGGUGGCUAAUACCGAAUGUGCAGAGAUGUGAAAUAUUUAUAGCCUGAAGAUGAGCUCGCGUCUGAUUAGCUAGUAGGUGUGGUAAGAGCGCACCUAGGCGACGAUCAGUAGCUGGUCUGAGAGGAUGAUCAGCCACACUGGGACUGAGACACGGCCCAGACUCCUACGGGAGGCAGCAGUGGGGAAUUUUCCGCAAUGGGCGAAAGCCUGACGGAGCAAUACCGCGUGAGGGAGGAAGGCUCUUGGGUUGUAAACCUCUUUUCUCAGGGAAGAAUUUAAUGACGGUACCUGAGGAAUAAGCAUCGGCUAACUCCGUGCCAGCAGCCGCGGUAAUACGGAGGAUGCAAGCGUUAUCCGGAAUGAUUGGGCGUAAAGCGUCCGCAGGUGGCUAUGUAAGUCUGCUGUUAAAUAGUGAGGCUCAACCUCAUAAAGGCAGUGGAAACUACAUGGCUAGAGUGCGUUCGGGGCAGAGGGAAUUCCUGGUGUAGCGGUGAAAUGCGUAGAGAUCAGGAAGAACACCGGUGGCGAAAGCGCUCUGCUAGGCCGCAACUGACACUGAGGGACGAAAGCUAGGGGAGCGAAUGGGAUUA